CGAGGAACAGCAGCUUUUCUGGAACACUUGGGAGCAGAAGCAAAAACAAGAGCAAGAUCCUGAUGGCAUCCACCCAGCGCCAGACAGAGGAUACACUGUGGCACGUGGACUCCACCCCCCACACGACACACGCACGUACAAGCUGAGGCUCGGAAGGAGAACGUUCCAGGCCACGAGGUGGGGGGAGGAAGUGGCAAAUAAGCCCCAAAUGCACUGCACACCACACCCUGAGUCAGCUGGGUUUGCAUUUCUACAGCAAAGAGUCUGGACUGAAAGGGGUCCCAAGAGCCAAUAAGGAGUACAGCCCUGAACGAUCAAUCCAUCUGGGUCUCCUGAGGACUAUGAGGUAACCCCUGUCUUUCCUGUCACGGUGGAAAUGGGAAGCCAUUGUCAGGAGGAGGGGCCCACAGUGCUGAUUGCUAGAAGCCAGGCCAUGAGGAUGACUCUCGAGGAUGCAGGGUAAGGCCCUAUGAUAGGCUAGGGACCCUUCCUUUCCUGGAGUUUAGGGAUAGGCCAGCCCCACACUCUAGCAACACUCUCCUUUCAGUCCAUAAACAUGGAACAGCUGGGCAGAACAGAGCUCCAGCAAGGCUGGUCCUGCAUCUGCAAAGGGUGCAAGCAGGGGACAGUAGGCUCCAUACUUCCAACCUUCAAACGCAUUCUUUACCUGGAACUAUUCUUUUUUUAAAGAUUUUAUUUAUUUAAUGUUUGUAAGCACACUGUUGCUCUCUUCAGACACACCAGUAGAGGGCAUCAGAUCCCAUUACAUAUGGUGUGAGCCACCAUGUGGUUGCUGGGAAUUGAACUCAGGACCUCUGGAAGAGCAGUCAGUGCUCUUAACCAUGGAGCCAUCUCUCCAGCCCCAACCCUGGAACUAUUCUUGAGCAGGACAAGCCCACUCCCACUGCCUGAAGAAGUCAGUCUCAGGGACACGGUGUUCUGUGACUCUGCCGCCUACCCCAUCUGGGGCCACCUCUAUCCUAUAGGAGCUGAAGCUGGCUGGGAGUGAAGCGCAUGCCCAGCCUCUGUGAAGCUCUGGGGCACCCUAAUUCCAGCACCCAGGCCGGGAGGGAAGAGGACCUGCUCAGGACUGUCCUUAGGUGCUCUCUUCAGCAGCACUCAUGCUAACACUGGAACAAUACGGAGCAGAUUAGCACGGCCCCUGUGCGAGGAUGAUACAAAAAUUCACCGAGGGUCCCAUAGUCUUAAUAAAAGUAUGUACCUUACAAAAGAAAGUUUUAAAAGAAAACACUUGUCAAUAAAGUGAGUUCCAGGCCAGCCUGGCCCACUUGAGACCUAGCUUCCAAAACAAAAGGAAACCCAAAUCCCCAAACCAAAAUCCAGCUGGCCCUGGUAAUGCUGGCAGAUGCCAGUUGGGUGCAGUCUCAUCCCUAUGGCAACAGCCCCUCCCUUGAUGAAGACUUCCGACUUAUUUUCCAAUACAGUGUCUCUUUCCUUCCUUAGUCUUCAUUGUGGAUUUUUUUUUUCCUGACAUCUGUAAAAUUAUUUACAAUAAAAGACAUUCAGAGUUGGACAUCUGUAUAAUUAUUUACAAUAAAAGACACAUUCAGAGUUGGACCAACAAGAUAGAAAUAACCUACAGAGGCAAAGGAGGACAACAGCCACACUGACAGACAGCGCGUGCAUUCACAGGCCUCACCAGGGAGAGUUCGAGUUAGCUGGAGUGAUUCUCCUCAUCUGACAGAGAUUUCAUUCCAUGAGGAAAGACCUGGUGCAAAACCCGGAGACCAUCCUGAGCAGAGUACAGAUCACAAAUGCACUCUAGUGACAGGUCUCAGGGAGUUCCCAAGGCUCCCACUCAGGGCGCUUCACAUGGCGUGGUGGGAAUGGGCACAGAGACGAGAGACAACCAAGCUUGGAGCAGGAGAUCAGGACAGAGAUGGGAGCUCUAAAGAGAGAGGCUCUAUCCUUUCCCAGAGGCUGAGUGCCCCAAGUCUCCUGGAGCUAAGCUCCCGCCCACAGUCAGGACAGGGGCCCUGCAGGUAGGGAAGGGCAGCCACCUGCCCUACAUCAGCCCAACACUGGCAGUACAGCUCCAACCUGCCACUGUCUUAGAAUACUUUAGCUUAGAUUAAGAACUUCCUUCUGGAAAUGGCUCAGUAACCACUGAGCACUGGCUGUUCUUCUAGAGGUCCUGAGUUCAGUUCCCAGCAACCACAUGGUGGCUCACAACCAUUCCUGACUUUAGUUCUGGGGGAUCUGAUCCCCUCUUCUGCCCUCCUUGGGCACUGCACACACGAGGUAUGGGAACGUACGUGUAAAUGAAAUACUCACACAUAUAAAAUUAAAAUAAGUAAACCUAAACAAAAAAAAGUAAAGCAAAACAAACAAAGAACCCCCCCUCCUCAUCACACACCUUAGAAGAGUAAGGCCUAAAGGAGUAACUGUAGUGUAGUGGGGAGGCAAGACUGUGAGCGAGGCCGGGCGUGGCGUCGCACGCCUUUAAUCCCAGCACUUGGGAGGCAGAGGCAGGCGGAUUUCUGAGUUCGAGGCCAGCCUGGUCUACAGAGUGAGUUCCAGGACAGCCAGGGCUACACAGAGAAACCCUGUCUCGAAAAAACAAAAAGAAAAACAAACAAACAAACAAAGACUGUGAGGGAGGCAGCCCCUGUGAAGACCUCAGAGCAGGGGGUGGUCAGGCACUAAGCUUCCCUCACUGUUGGACCAAGAGACUUAGUUCAGGUGGACAUGGAGGUGCCUGUGUGUAUGAAGGGCCUAAGAGGGAGACUGAGGCAGGGACCUGAGAGGACCAAAAUGCACCCCCAGAUAGGCU